ensembl:lncRNA LINC01659 long intergenic non-protein coding RNA 1659
UCUUAGUGGCAUCUGGGGUCGAGGAGGGCGACUGUCAGCCAGUUGGGGGAUGUUUUCUUCUUGGUCUCUCGGCUUCUGCUUCCCUGUGAGCUGGGCAGCCUCAGCCCAGGUCCUAUCCGGUACUCAGCUGGCCUCGGUGUGCACAGCGCAGGCUUGAGUGCAGCCGUGGGGGCGGGCGGGGCAGAAGCAGGGCCCCUGGGAACAGCUGAGUCUGAAGGGUCAGAAGCCACGGCCCCUGUGGGGGGCUCUGGGGCAGCCAGGGGAGCUGCUCGUUAGUCGUCUCUGGGGCAGAAGGAAGGGACCUUCACCUGGGUUGGGACUGGGCCUGGGUCCCCAGUCUCACAGGGAGCUCGUCCUGAUUGUACCUGCCCGGCUGUGACGGCUGAGCCCGGGCUCCUGGAGGCAAGGCCACCUCAGGCCUCCAGGGCCGGAGCCGCAAGGAGCUGCUGGGUUUCCACAGGGCCACGGGGGCUGCGGCCACACGGAGCGGGAGCACAGGUGGGGACACUGAAGCUGAGCUCACAGCCAGGAGAGGGACAGCAGAGUGACGGCCGAGACCAUCUGCACUGCGAGGGAAGCAGCGCCCACCUUCCUUGGUGGUCCGGGAAGGCCGGACCGGCCCCUUGGGUCCCCACUGGCCUCAGCCACUGUGGGCUCGUCCAGCUUCAGCUGCCAGGAGAGGCCAGGCCGAGGUCAGGAGGCUCAGCAGCUGGUUCCAUGACUUCCUCUUCGCUGAGGAGGUCAGGACAGAAGCUUCUAGAUGACAGGCCGCCCAACUUGGUAUAAAACAGCAAAUUUCUGUGCCUGUGCUGUCGGGCUGUGAAUGACUUCUCGUCUGUUUCAUGAGAUGCAGCUUCAGCCCAGGGAGCCAUCAGAUGCAGCCGGGCGAGACGCGGAGCCAAGAGCUGUCCUCGCCC